rnacentral:tRNA from 1 species
GCUCACAUAGCUUAAUCACAAAGCAUGGCACUGAAGAUGCCAAGACGGUACAUAUUACCUGCGAGC